GACAGAGGAUGCAAGCGUUAUCCGGAAUGAUUGGGCGUAAAGCGUCUGUAGGUGGCUUCUUAAGUCCGCUGUCAAAUCCCAGGGCUUAACCCUGGCCAGGCGGUGGAGACUACUAAGCUUGAGUACGGUAGGGGCAGAGGGAAUUUCCGGUGGAGUGGUGAAAUGCGUAGAGAUCGGAAAGAACACCAAGGGCGAAGGCACUCUGCUGGGCCGACACUGACACUGAGAGACGAGAGCUAGGGGAGCAAAUGGG
rnacentral:rRNA from 1 species